GACCCCAGGCGAGACUCGAGCCCGCAUCUCCCGCUUAUAGGACAUGUGCUCUAUCCAUUACACCACCGGGCC